rfam:Triticum aestivum genome assembly, contig: Triticum_aestivum_CS42_TGACv1_scaffold_095758_2AL
UCAUUCGGAUUCGCCAUCAUACGUCCAACCAUGCAUUUGAUAUGCAUAUAUAUGCAUCACGAGCCACGGUUGGGCUGUAUGAUGGCGAUACCGAUUGG